rnacentral:miRNA from 1 species
AUGGUUGGGGUUGAGGAGCGAGA